rnacentral:rRNA from 1 species
AGUGAACGCUGGCGGUAGGCCUAACACAUGCAAGUCGAACGGCAGCACAGUAAGAGCUUGCUCUUACGGGUGGCGAGUGGCGGACGGGUGAGGAAUACAUCGGAAUCUACUUUUUCGUGGGGGAUAACGUAGGGAAACUUACGCUAAUACCGCAUACGACCUACGGGUGAAAGCAGGGGAUCUUCGGACCUUGCGCGAUUGAAUGAGCCGAUGUCGGAUUAGCUAGUUGGCGGGGCAAAGGCCCACCAAGGCGACGAUCCGUAGCUGGUCUGAGAGGAUGAUCGGCCACACUGGAACUGAGACACGGUCCAGACUCCUACGGGAGGCAGCAGUGGGGAAUAUUGGACAAUGGGCGCAAGCCUGAUACAGCCAUACCGCGUGGGUGAAGAAGGCCUUCGGGUUGUAAAGCCCUUUUGUUGGGAAAGAAAAGCAGCAGGUUAAUACCCCGCUGUUCUGACGGUACCCAAAGAAUAAGCACCGGCUAACUUCGUG